GCCCGGAUGGCGAAAUUGGCAGACGCAGCGGACUUAAAAUCCGCAGGAGCUUACCCUCCGUGGGGGUUCAAGUCCCCCUCCGGGCACCA
rnacentral:tRNA from 1 species